rnacentral:tRNA from 1 species
GCUACCGUGGUGCUAAUGGGAACACACCUGCCCGGUAAGCAGGAGAUUCCGGUUCAACUCCGGGCGGUAGCUCCA